GCGCUUGUAGCUCAACGGAUAGAGCAUCUGACUACGGAUCAGAAGGUUGGGGGUUCGAGUCCCUCCAAGCGCGCCA
rnacentral:tRNA from 1 species